rnacentral:rRNA from 1 species
AUUGAACGCUGGCGGCAUGCUUUACACAUGCAAGUCGAACGGUAACAGGGUGCUUGCACCGCUGACGAGUGGCGAACGGGUGAGUAAUGCGUCGGAACGCACCGAGUAAUGGGGGAUAACGCAGCGAAAGCUGUGCUAAUACCGCAUACGCUCUGAGGAGGAAAGCGGGGGACCUUCGGGCCUCGCGUUAUUCGAGCGGCCGACGUCUGAUUAGCUAGUAGGUGAGGUAAGAGCUCACCUAGGCGACGAUCAGUAGCGGGUCUGAGAGGAUGAUCCGCCACACUGGGACUGAGACACGGCCCAGACUCCUACGGGAGGCAGCAGUGGGGAAUUUUGGACAAUGUGCGCAAGCCUGAUCCAGCCAUGCCGCGUGUCUGAAGAAGGCCUUCGGGUUGUAAAGGACUUUUGUCAGGGAGGAAAUCCUUAGCGCUAAUACCGUUGAGGGAUGACGGUACCUGAAGAAUAAGCACCGGCUAACUACGUGCCAGCCGCCGCGGUAAUAC